rnacentral:rRNA from 1 species
UACAGAGGGGGCAAGCGUUAUUCGGAAUUAUUGGGCGUAAAGGGCGCGUAGGCGGCCAUUCAAGUGACGGGUGAAAGCCCUCGGCUUAACCGAGGAACUGCCUGUCAGACUGCAUGGCUUGAGACCGGGAGAGGUGAGUGGAAUUCCCAGUGUAGCGGUGAAAUGCGUAGAUAUUGGGAGGAACACCAGUGGCGAAGGCGGCUCACUGGACCGGUACUGACGCUGAUGCGCGAAAGCGUGGGGAGCAAACAGG